rnacentral:rRNA from 1 species
UACGUAGGGAGCAAGCGUUGUCCGGAUUUACUGGGUGUAAAGGGUGCGUAGGCGGGAUUGCAAGUCAGAUGUGAAAUACAUAGGCUUAACCUAUGGGCUGCAUUUGAAACUGUUUUUCUUGAGUGAUGGAGAGGCAGGCGGAAUUCCGUGUGUAGCGGUGAAAUGCGUAGAUAUUAGGAGGAACAUCAGUGGCGAAGGCGGCCUGCUGGGCUUUUACUGACGCUGAGGCUCGAAAGCGUGGGGAGCAA